CUCACCUCCUCUUCCCAUCCCCCCUCCUCCGAAACCCUAGCCAUGGCGUGGCGUGGCCACGCCACCCGGACCGUCCUCGCCGCCGUGCGCCGCCCGGCCACCGCGCCCGCGGCCGCGGCCGCUCGCCUCGGCGCCCCGCCCCCGUUCGCGGCCCCUCGCCGCCGCGUCCCGUCCGCGCGGGCUCUGGCGGCGUUGAUGGGGUCCCCGGUGACGGCGGCGUCGGUGAUGACGCGCCUCACGGCGCACCCGGGUGCCAGCGCGCGGGCGUGCUGCGAGCUCUCACAGGGAACUGGAAAAGAUGGGUGAUGCAAGAGAGGCCGUUGUAGAGCCUGCCAAAGGUGCUGAUUUGAAGCAUGUACUCCUUUGGUACUUGAAGCUGUUGUGUAGAUUCCAUCCUUUUGAAAGGAUAAAAAGAUAUAUCUUUUGGAAAGCUAUUCUGGCAUUUCAUCCACUGCAAAGUUAGAUGACUUUACCCAGCAAUAGCCAGUUUCCUCCUUAGGUUUCUAGAUUAGACUGAAAUAAAUUUUAUGCUACAUGGCAUUGCCCGUGGACUUGCAUUUUCUUUCUACGGUUUGUGAUCUCAUACAUCUGCUGAGAUUCUUUGGUGUCAAAUUUCAGUUGACCUGUUAAAUUAUAGUGUUACUACCGCGGUACUGCCUUUGUACCUUUGCAUGAGGUGUUAGCGCAAUUUGCAUUAUCAUCUGGAGUUC